CUUUUUCAUUAAUCACAUAUUAUUUAUUAAUCACAGAUUAACCAAGGUCACACAUUAUUUUUUAAUUUUUUAUCACAAUUUAUCUUUUUCGUUGGCACAUAUUAUUUAUUAGUCACAAAUUAACCAAUUUAAUGGUCACAAUCAACAAAAUAAUCUGUGACCACUAUCAAGACUGACGACAACUACCGCCUCCAACCGUACCACCACCACUGUUGCUGCCAUCACCACCACCACACGAGAGCAACGUUGAAAAAAUAAACCACCAAAUAGCGUCACCCAUGCCAUCCCACCCACAAACCACCAUCACAACCGCCAUCACCACCGUCGACCACCACCAACACUUGCGGCAACCACUGGCUCUAACAGCACCACUGCCACUGUCGUCGCCAAAACCACCACCACAGAUCCACCAUCAUCACCACAACCCAACAUCGUACCGCAAUCGCCAUCAACCCCACACCUCACCAGAUUCGCCACCGCAGCCCACCAUUAAACAUCACAUAUCGCUAGAGCCACCGUCCAACAACCAUUAAGAAAAAAAAAACACCGCAACUACCAUUAACCACUGCACCUCACCGCCAGAUCCACCACCACAACCCAUCGUCAAACACCACCUAUCGUUAGAGCCAUCAUCCAACAACCAUUUCCCAAAAAAUAAUAAUAAUAAUAAACCAUCGACCUGCGACCUGCAGUGACGCUGCUUAAGAAGCCGCUACAACCAUGCUCUAGUGUUCCCCCUUCGACACUGCAAGCGGAACCAAGAAACGGAGCUCGCAGGGAAGCCGCCGCUGCAAGCGAAGCACGGAUGCAUCGCGAGAUCAACACGAGGACGACGAUCUGCUUUAUCUGGCCGGCGAUUCACGCUUCUUCUAGCUGGCGACGCCGUGAAUUACUGUUGUGUGAGGGAGAGAAGGUGAAGAGACGGAGAACACAGGCGAUUGGGAAGAGUGAUAGGAGAAGAUGACGAGAGAGAGAAAAUGGUCGAUUUUGGGAUAAAAAAAUGUUUAUUUAAUAUUAAUAUUUAAAUAUGCUAUAUCUGAUUUUUGAAGGAUUAAAGUUUCCAU
rnacentral:lncRNA from 1 species